AACGCGAAGAACCUUACCUACCCUUGGAUACAGUAGAGCUUACAGAGAUGUGAGUGUGCCUUCGGGAAUACUGAUACAGGUGCUGCAUGGCUGUCGUCAGCUCGUGUCGUGAGAUGUUGGGUUAAGUCCCGUAACGAGCGCAACCCUUAUCCUUAGUUGCCAGCACGUUAAGGUGGGAACUCUAAGGAGACUGCCGGUGACAAACCGGAGGAAGGCGGGGACGACGUCAAGUCAUCAUGGCCCUUACGGGUAGGGCUACACACGUGCUACAAUGGCCGAUACAGAGGGGAGCGAAGGGGUGACCUGGAGCGAAUCUUAUAAAGUUGGUCGUAGUCCGGAUUGAAGUCUGCAACUCGACUUCAUGAAGUCGGAAUCGCUAGUAAUCGCGAAUCAGCAUGUCGCGGUGAAUACGUUCCCGGGCCUUGUACACACCGAGUAUA
rnacentral:rRNA from 1 species